rnacentral:rRNA from 1 species
CGAGCGGAUGACGGGAGCUUGCUUCUUGAUUCAGCGGCGGACGGGUGAGUAAUGCCUAGGAAUCUGCCUGGUAGUGGGGGACAACGUUUCGAAAGGAACGCUAAUACCGCAUACGUCCUACGGGAGAAAGCAGGGGACCUUCGGGCCUUGCGCUAUCAGAUGAGCCUAGGUCGGAUUAGCUAGUAGGUGAGGUAAUGGCUCACCUAGGCGACGAUCCGUAACUGGUCUGAGAGGAUGAUCAGUCACACUGGAACUGAGACACGGUCCAGACUCCUACGGGAGGCAGCAGUGGGGAAUAUUGGACAAUGGGCGAAAGCCUGAUCCAGCCAUGCCGCGUGUGUGAAGAAGGUCUUCGGAUUGUAAAGCACUUUAAGUUGGGAGGAAGGGCAGUAAGCUAAUACCUUGCUGUUUCGACGUUACCGACAGAAUAAGCACCGGCUAACUCUGUGCCAGCAGCCGCGGUAAUACAGAGGGUGCAAGCGUUAAUCGGAAUUACUGGGCGUAAAGCGCGCGUAGGUGGUUCGUUAAGUUGGAUGUGAAAGCCCCGGGCUCAACCUGGGAACUGCAUCCAAAAC